rnacentral:misc_RNA from 1 species
UUUCCGUAGGUGAACCUGCGGAAGGAUCAUUAAUAAAUAAGGGAGAACUUAAAAUUGUUCUUACCUACUAAUAAUCCUACCCUUUGUGAAUUUGUUUGUUUGAAAUAAUUUUUUAAAGAAAAAUUAUUUAUAGUUUUGUCUAUCCCUGAGGAAGUGAGUGUAAAAGCUUAUAGAAUCAGGGAAUAGGCUUUAUAAAUAAUUUUUAUUUAAAGACCUUUUUUUUAAAUUAAACUUUUUUGUAUUCAUUUGUCUAAAAUUUAUUUUUAAAUAAUUUAAAAACAACUUUUGACAAUGGAUCUCUUGGUUCUCGCAACGAUGAAGAACGCAGCAAAAUGCGAUAAGUAAUGUGAAUUGCAGAAUACGUGAAUCAUCAAAUCUUCGAACGCAUAUUGCACUUUUUUAGUUUACUAAAAAAGUAUGUCUGUUUGAGUAUCAGUAAAAUAUUCUCAUAAAAAAUUUAUUUUUUUUAUGGUUUUGAGUGUUUUACAACGAUACAAGUUGUUUCACUUUAAAUUGACUUAAUUGACUAAUUUUAUUAGAUCAAUUUUUUUAAAAUUGGAUAAAAUUUUCCCGUAAAAAGGAAUAACCUUGACAGUUUUAAAAAUUCUAAUAAGUUUAGUAAAAUAAAGGAAAUUUAUAAUCAAACUAACUUGAUCUCAAAUCAGAUAAGAGUACCCGCUGAACUUAAGCAUACCAAUAAGCGGAGGAAAAGAAACUAACAAGGAUUCACCUAGUAACGGCGAGUGAAGCGGGAAGAGCUCAAAUUUGAAAUCUUCAAGGUUUUACCUUGACGAAUUGUAGUUUAAAGAAGUGUUUUCGGUUAGUUGAGUGGUAAAAGUUCUUUGGAAUAGGACAUCAUAGAGGGUGAGGAUCCCGUAUUUGACCAUUCAUUCUAGCUAUGUGAUACACUUUCAAAGAGUCGGAUUGUUUGGGAAUGCAGUCCAAAAUGGGUGGUAAAUUUCAUCUAAAGCUAAAUAUUGGCGAGAGACCGAUAGCGAACAAGUACCGUGAGGGAAAGAUGAAAAGAACUUUGAAAAGAGAGUUAAACAGUACGUGAAAUUGUCAAAAGGGAAGCGUUUGACACCAGUGUUUGUUUUCCGAAAAUCAAUUAAAAAGCUGUUCAUGCUAAGUUGUAUUGACCUUAUCAGCUUGCAAUUUAGUUUUGGGCUUCUUUUUGAUGCACUUUUCGGUUAACAAGUCAACAUCAAUUUCUUUUGCUGUAAAAGGGUAAGAGGAAGGUGGCUUCAAUUUCGGUUGAAGUGUUUAUAGCCUUUUACCUCUGCAGUCGGAGAGAUUGAGGUCUGCAGCGUAGAUCCUUCGGGGCUAGAUACGUUUGUGCUAAGUUAUAGCUUUGUAUAGACAACUUGUUGACUAUGCUUAGUCAUGUGGCUUACUCGCAGAUAGUAUUUUACCUACGCUUAGGAUGUUG